GAUGAACGCUGGCGGCGUGCCUAACACAUGCAAGUCGAACGGAGAUUACGGACGGAAGUUUUCGGAUGGAAGCCUGUAAUUCUUAGUGGCGGACGGGUGAGUAACGCGUGGGCAACCUGCCCUAUACAGGGGGAUAGCAGCUGGAAACGGCUGGUAAGACCGCAUAAGUCGGUUAAAUCGCAUGAUUUGAUCGGGAAAUGAGCAAUCAGGUAUAGGAUGGGCCCGCGUCCGAUUAGCCAGUUGGCAGGGUAAAAGCCUACCAAAGCGACGAUCGGUAGCCGGGCUGAGAGGUCGGACGGCCACAUUGGGACUGAGACACGGCCCGAACUCCUACGGGAGGCAGCAGUGGGGGAUAUUGCACAAUGGAGGAAACUCUGAUGCAGCGACGCCGCGUGAGUGAAGAAGUAUUUCGGUAUGUAAAGCUCUAUCAGCAGGGAAGAUGAUGACGGUACCUGACUAAGAAGCCCCGGCUAACUACGUG
rnacentral:rRNA from 1 species